GAAGUAAAGACUGCAAAAUGAAAAGAAGCGAGGCUUUUAGUGAGACUUGCCUAGGGGCGAGUUUCUCAUCCAUCUUGGUUGGUGGUGGUAAUCCAUGUCUUGACUGGGAGACUUGAUGGUCAUGAGCAUAUCAUUGCUAGUUCACCAACAUUAACUAGAGGUGUCAGUUUGUCCACUAGUACUGUGGGACAAGUCCUUGUGCCUCGUUUGCGCCCCUCUUGCUUACCUCCUUAAGUUUUCACAUUGCUCACAUAUUACGUGUAAAAUAAUCGUGCUCGUUGGAUAUUGAGAUGGUUGUUUGUCUGGUACUUGCUUGGUAUAAAUUUUUUAUCAUCAUUAUAACUUUUUUACAUAUCUUUUAAAAUGUUAUCAACGUCGUAGCUCAAACCAACGGUGAUAAUAUAAUUUCACCACCCGUUCAAAACUGAAGGUGAUAGUCAAGAUUAUCAACACUAUCCAAAUCCAAUGCCCCCCAUCCCUCCCUCAUAUUGGCUGUGAGGGGGGGGGGGGGUUCAGACCAAUGGUGAAGGGGUGUACCACCCUAAAACUUUAAAAUUUAAUGCAGUAGCAUUUGCAUUGUGCAUUGAUGCUGAAUAGAUGCAUUAGGCCUUUUGAUUGUAGAUGUGUGAUCGUUGUUAGGGCUUCGUUUAAGUUAUUCGAAGUGGUUUAAGCCCUUUUGGGCCCAAUUCUUUCUAUCUUUCUUUCUUUCCUCUUCCUUCUUUACUCAGCCAACUCAAGUCUUGUGUACUGGGCCGAGCCCAUCUCUACAGCCGCAACAAAUCGACACUCUCAUCCUUAUCCCGAGCACAACACCAUUGCCGCAACAACUCGUGAACCUGACGGUCAUGUUUCGCUCGCUCGUACGCGCUCACGACAGAGGCAGCUGUGAUCUUUCUAUGCCCCUCUUGCCUUAUAAAACGAGGCACCACUGCUCGCCCCUUCCACAUCUGCACGAACUGCCUUCCUUCAUCCUGGGUCGUCGCUGUUCUUCCUUUUGGCUCCAGACCGCCAGGAGGGACCGCCAUCACUCGUCGUCACCUUUCCACGCUGGUACAGGAAGUUCUAGUUAUAGCCCUAUUCAUCCCGAGAGCAAACCGUGUCGUUGCAGGAGGUGUGACAUGGGGUCUGUGCAAUAAUGCAAGCUUUGAAGUAAAGACUGCAAAAUGAAAAGAAGAGAGGCUUUUAGUGAGACUUGCAUAGUGGCGAGUUGCUCAUCCAGUUUGGUUGGUGGUGGUAAUCCGACUCUUGACUGGGAGGGACUUGAUGGUCAUGAGCAUAUCAUUGCUAGUCCACCAACAUUAACUAGAGGUGCCAGUUUGCCCACUAGUGCUGUGGGACAAUUCCUUAUGUUGAGUUUGUGCCGCUUUUGCUCACCUCCUUAUGUUUUUACUUUUACCUUGAUGCCAUCUUUUAUGCAUUUACCUUAUUAUAGAAUAUAAUCUUGUUAUGAUUAGCUCUAGAUUACAACCUCUUCUUACAUGGGAACACUACACCACAGCCCAAAAAUAGCAAUGGC